rnacentral:rRNA from 1 species
UACGUAGGCAGCGAGCGUUGUUCGGAGUUACUGGGCGUAAAGGGUGUGUAGGCGGUUCUUUAAGUUUGGUGUGAAAUCUCCCGGCUCAACCGGGAGGGUGCGCCGAAUACUGAGGGACUAGAGUAUGGGAUGGGAAAGUGGAAUUCCUGGUGUAGCGGUGAAAUGCGUAGAUAUCGUCUGGAACGCCGAAGGUGAAAACAGCUCGCUGGGGCUGCGCUGACGCUGAGGUGCGAAAGCGUGGGGAGCAAACAGG